CUGCCGGUGGACCAUUAAACUCUUGUUAUUUUAUGUAAUCUGAGCGUCUUAUUUUAAUAAGUCAAAACUUUCAACAACGGAUCUCUUGGUUCUGGCAUCGAUGAAGAACGCAGCGAAAUGCGAUAAGUAAUGUGAAUUGCAGAAUUCAGUGAAUCAUCGAAUCUUUGAACGCACAUUGCGCCCAUUAGUAUUCUAGUGGGCAUGCCUGUUCGAGCGUCAUUUCAACCCUUAAGCCUAGCUUAGUGUUGGGAAUCUACUUCUCUUAGGAGUUGUAGUUCCUGAAAUACAACGGCGGAUUUGUAGUAUCCUCUGAGCGUAGUAAUUCUUUUCUCGCUUUUGUUAGGUGCUAUAACUCCCAGCCGC
rnacentral:rRNA from 1 species